CUGUGAUAUAACUGUCUUGUAAGUAAAACGAAUAGCCAUCAUUUAUACUUUUACCAGCCAGAGAAAACCAGUCAAUGUACAAUUAUCUAUAUAUUUUUUGGCAAAGUGGUUUCAUAUAAUUCACUUUUUUACUUAAAAUAUGAACGUUAAUCAGUUUAGCUAUUAAUUCCACAUGUAUUUUCCCACGCCCUAUUCUAGACCCUCAGGAUACCAGAAUGAGAGACCAACAUGACCCCAGCCCUUACAGUCUGUGCGCUAGGCUGUUGGAAAACGCAGUAUGUGGAGCAGAACCAAACUGAUGUCAUCAUGGCAGGGGCCAUGCUAGAGAAGUCAACAACCGGCCAGUCCCCAGACACGUGAGCAAGCCCAGUCAAAGUCUGUGGUACCAUCUAGCCACCUGGUAGCCUUAUCAGCAAUAAUAGAUGGUGUUGUUUUAAACCGUCGAGUUAUGAGGAGGAAGAGCCAGCAACAAAUUUGUUGCAAACAUUUGCAAAGUGAAAACGACCGUUAUUUUCAUUCUUUUCUCAUCUGACAAGGGAAGAUGCAAGGAAAAUGCAUAGAAGAGAAAGCAUGUGUGAGGAUGGGAAGGAAAGUAAGAAAAGGAAUGUUUUCCACUCACGGGUUGUCUCAUCACUUGGUCCCUCAUUCCCCACUGCAAAGAUGCACUCAUGAUUCAGGCUGGUGCGUGAGAGUACAUCAUUACCCUGGAACCAAUAACCAGUUCAUGGUCAAGCACCUGCCCACACAGGCCCAAUCAAGUCCUUAUUUGGGGAUUUUUAUGGAUACUUGGAGACAGUUUCUCUUCUUUUGCAAUCUGCAGUGUGAAAGAAAAUGUAGUAUGGAAUUAAGGGGAGCCAUGUUUACGGUCAAACAAGAUGGGUCUACUAAGAAUAAAGCCAAAACAAAUGGCAGACAGAGGUGAUCAAUGCACUGAGAAAGACAGAGUCCUAAUGCUGUUAUUUCAAUCCCUGAUAGUCAUGUAUGGAGUUAGGGUACCUUUUGAACUUCCCCUUUUGCUUUGGCUAGUUCAGAUGGAGUUUUGUGACUUGCAACUGAAAAAGUCUUGAACUGUCUUAGUGUUGGUGUUGGGACUAUAAUUCAGAUCUUCUGACCCCAAUUUAGUGCUUCUUCCCACACCUCAUGACAGUUUAUAAAAUAGUGACUUGAUAUUAAUAAAGGAUAAAUGAAAUAUGGUAACA
rnacentral:lncRNA from 1 species